GGGCCAAUCGUAUAGUGGCUUAUUAUGCUGUCUUAGGGUCUUUUCAUCAUCUGGAAGUUGCACUAAGUUGACAGAGGUCCCCGGUUCGAUUCCGGGUUGGCCCC
rnacentral:tRNA from 1 species